UACUGUAGAAUAUCAGUCCAUAACAUUACUGUAGAAUAUCAGUCCAUAACAUUACUGUAGAAUAUCAGUCCAUAACAUUACUGUAGAAUAUCAGUCCAAAACAUUACUGUAGAAUAUCAGUCCAUAACAUUACUGUAGAAUAUCAGUCCAAAACAUUACUGUAGAAUAUCAGUCCAAAACAUUACUGUAGAAUAUCAGUCCAUAACAUUACUGUAAUAUAUCAGUCCAUAACAUUACUGUAGAAUAUCAGUCCAUAACAUUACUGUAGAAUAUCAGUCCAAAACAUUACUGUAAUAUAUCAGUCCAUAACAUUACUGUAGAAUAUCAGUCCAAAACAUUACUGUAGAAUAUCAGUCCAAAACAUUA